rnacentral:rRNA from 1 species
GACGAACGCUGGCGGCGUGCCUAAUACAUGCAAGUCGAACGCAGUGGGGACGGGUGAGUAACACGUGGGUAACCUCCCAUCAGAGGGGAUAACACUUGGAAACAGGUGCUAAACCGAUAUUGAUGGAUGGACCCGCGGUGCAUUAGCUAGUUGGUGAGGUAACGGCUCACCAAGGCCACGAUGCAUAGCUUGCCUUAGCGAGUGUCCGGCCCCACGGGGACUGAGACACGGCCUAGACGCCGCAGUGACGCCGCAGUGGGUAAUCUUCGGCAAUGGACGAAAGUCUGUCCCAGAAACGCCGCGUGAGUGACUCAGGUUUUCGGAUCGUAAAACUCUGUUGUUAUAGAAGCGGUAUCUAACCAGAAAGCCUCGGCUAACUCCGUGCCAGCAGCCGCGGGAAUUC